AUUAAUGUUCAUGACAGGUGUUAUGUCAGUCUUAUUCACACCCCUUUAAAUAAAGUGUUACCGGUGGAUUUUGCCUCAGUGAACUUUGCCCUUUACGCCUAAUUAUUAACAGAGGAGCAGAUAUUUUGUGGUUCAUUUCUGUGAGGAAUCUGUUCAGAAAUGAUCUCUGAUGUUCGACUCUGUGGCGAGUUUAUGGCAGACAGGACUUCCUGUUUUCCCCGUUAAAAGACGAAACCUGACAGCGAGGAAACCUGCUGGAAUGUUACCGACCUCAUCCUGCCACUCAUUGACCAGCACACUCUCUCUCUCUGUGAACCCACCUCGCUCGUCCGCUCCCACAAUCCAUCUCAAAACGCCUGAACAAUCCCAGCAUGCACCUCUGCCUCGCCGCAUGCUUCCUCAUCAGUCCAUCCAGAGGGAAUGGAGGAGCAGAACCAGCCAGACCCUGGGCUCGGUGGAUCUGCCGAGACGCUGGCAUGUGGAGGCUGAGGCAGUAACCCAGGGGGCGGGGCCAUGAGGUAACGAAGCAGUGCCCCACGUCUUCUGGAAGCUGCUCGUAGUUCUCCAGUUCCUUCAGGAAAAUACUGAGGAGCACAAAGAUGUCCUGGAUGUUUCCGAACACGACGUCGUCCUUGUUGGUGAGUCCAGGUGGGAUUUCCUCCGAGCCGCUGGUCAUCUCCCACAGGUACG